rnacentral:rRNA from 1 species
CCUUUGUACACACCGCCCGUCGCUACUACCGAUUGAAUGGCUCAGUGAGGUUUUCGGACUGGCCUGGAGAGGCGGGCGACUGCCACUCCGGGCCGGAAAGUUACCCAAACUCGGUCAUUUAGAGG